rnacentral:rRNA from 1 species
CGAGGGGAGUGAAAAAGAACCUGAAACCGUGUACGUACAAGCAGUGGGAGCACAGGUUUACCUGUGUGACUGCGUACCUUUUGUAUAAUGGGUCAGCGACUUAUAUUCUGUAGCAAGGUUAACCGUAUAGGGGAGCCGGAGGGAAACCGAGUCUUAACCGGGCGUUAAGUUGCAGGGUAUAGACCCGAAACCCGGUGAUCUAGCCAUGGGCAGGUUGAAGGUUGGGUAACACUAACUGGAGGACCGAACCGACUAAUGUUGAAAAAUUAGCGGAUGACCUGUGGCUGGGGGUGAAAGGCCAAUCAAACCGGGAGAUAGCUGGUUCUCCCCGAAAGCUAUUUAGGUAGCGCCUCGUGAAUUCAUCUCCGGGGGUAGAGCACUGUUUCGGCUAGGGGGCCAUCCCGGCUUACCAACCCGAUGCAAACUGCGAAUACCGGAGAAUGUUAUCACGGGAGACACACGGCGGGUGCUAACGUCCGUCGUGAAGAGGGAAACAACCCAGACCGCCAGCUAAGGUCCCAAAGUCAUGGUUAAGUGGGAAACGAUGUGGGAAGGCCCAGACAGCCAGGAUGUUGGCUUAGAAGCAGCCAUCAUUUAAAGAAAGCGUAAUAGCUCACUGGUCGAGUCGGCCUGCGCGGAAGAUGUAACGGGGCUAAACCAUGCACCGAAGCUGCGGCAGCGAACGUAUCACCCAAGACAACUUUACGGAGUUGACGAUUGACGGAGCGAAGCGACGUCAAAGCGUUCAUUAAAGUCGAGUUGGCUUAGGGAUACGUUCGUUGGGUAGGGGAGCGUUCUGUAAGCCUGUGAAGGUGUGUCGUGAGGCAUGCUGGAGGUAUCAGAAGUGCGAAUGCUGACAUAAGUAACGAUAAAGCGGGUGAAAAGCCCGCUCGCCGGAAGACCAAGGGUUCCUGUCCAACGUUAAUCGGGGCAGGGUGAGUCGACCCCUAAGGCGAGGCCGAAAGGCGUAGUCGAUGGGAAACGGGUUAAUAUUCCCGUACUUGGUGUUACUGCGAAGGGGGGACGGAGAAGGCUAUGUUGGCCGGGCGACGGUUGUCCCGGUUUAAGCGUGUAGGUGUGUGUUCCAGGUAAAUCCGGUUCACUUUAACACUGAGGCGUGACGACGAGGCACUACGGUGCUGAAGCAACAAAUGCCCUGCUUCCAGGAAAAGCCUCUAAGCAUCAGGUAACAUCAAAUCGUACCCCAAACCGACACAGGUGGUCAGGUAGAGAAUACCAAGGCGCUUGAGAGAACUCGGGUGAAGGAACUAGGCAAAAUGGUGCCGUAACUUCGGGAGAAGGCACGCUGACACGUAGGUGAAGUGAUUUACUCAUGGAGCUGAAGUCAGUCGAAGAUACCAGCUGGCUGCAACUGUUUAUUAAAAACACAGCACUGUGCAAACACGAAAGUGGACGUAUACGGUGUGACGCCUGCCCGGUGCCGGAAGGUUAAUUGAUGGGGUCAGCGCAAGCGAAGCUCCUGAUCGAAGCCCCGGUAAACGGCGGCCGUAACUAUAACGGUCCUAAGGUAGCGAAAUUCCUUGUCGGGUAAGUUCCGACCUGCACGAAUGGCGUAAUGAUGGCCAGGCUGUCUCCACCCGAGACUCAGUGAAAUUGAACUCGCUGUGAAGAUGCAGUGUACCCGCGGCAAGACGGAAAGACCCCGUGAACCUUUACUAUAGCUUGACACUGAACAUUGAGCCUUGAUGUGUAGGAUAGGUGGGAGGCUUUGAAGUGUGGACGCCAGUCUGCAUGGAGCCGACCUUGAAAUACCACCCUUUAAUGUUUGAUGUUCUAACGUGGACCCGUAAUCCGGGUUGCGGACAGUGUCUGGUGGGUAGUUUGACUGGGGCGGUCUCCUCCUAAAGAGUAACGGAGGAGCACGAAGGUUGGCUAAUCCUGGUCGGACAUCAGGAGGUUAGUGCAAUGGCAUAAGCCAGCUUGACUGCGAGCGUGACGGCGCGAGCAGGUGCGAAAGCAGGUCAUAGUGAUCCGGUGGUUCUGAAUGGAAGGGCCAUCGCUCAACGGAUAAAAGGUACUCCGGGGAUAACAGGCUGAUACCGCCCAAGAGUUCAUAUCGACGGCGGUGUUUGGCACCUCGAUGUCGGCUCAUCACAUCCUGGGGCUGAAGUAGGUCCCAAGGGUAUGGCUGUUCGCCAUUUAAAGUGGUACGCGAGCUGGGUUUAGAACGUCGUGAGACAGUUCGGUCCCUAUCUGCCGUGGGCGCUGGAGAACUGAGGGGGGCUGCUCCUAGUACGAGAGGACCGGAGUGGACGCAUCACUGGUGUUCGGGUUGUCAUGCCAAUGGCACUGCCCGGUAGCUAAAUGCGGAAGAGAUAAGUGCUGAAAGCAUCUAAGCACGAAACUUGCCCCGAGAUGAGUUCUCCCUGAGACUUAGAGUCUCCUGAAGGAACGUUGAAGACGACGACGUUGAUAGGCCGGGUGUGUAAGCGCAGCGAUGCGUUGAGCUAACCGGUACUAAUGAACCGUGAGGCUUAACCUU